GAAAUGCGUUAAGUAUUGUGAAUUGCAGAAUUCAGUGAAUCAUCGAAUCUUUGAACGCACAUUGCGCCCCUUGGUAUUCCAUGGGGCAUGCCUGUUCGAGCGUCAUUUGUACCUUCAAGCUUUGCUUGGUGUUGGGUGUUUGUCUCGCCUCUGCGCGCAGACUCGCCUCAAAACAAUUAGCAGCCGGCGUAUUGAUUUCGGAGCGCAGUACAUCUCGCGCUUUGCACUCAUAACGACGACGUCCAAAAAGUACAUUUUUUACACUCUUGACCUCGGAUCAGGUAGGGAUACCCGCUGAACUUAAGC
rnacentral:misc_RNA from 1 species